rnacentral:rRNA from 1 species
CCUACGGGUGGCAGCAGUGGGGAAUAUUGGGCAAUGGAGGAAAGUCUGACCCAGCAACGUCGCGUGAAGGAUGACGGUCCUCGGAGUGUAAAGUUGUUUUUUAAGGGGAGAAGAAAGUGACGGUACCUUAGGAAUAAGUAUCGGCUAACUACGUGACAGUAGCCGCGGUAAGACGUAGGAGGCGAGCGUUUUCCGGAGUGACGGGGCUUAAAGGGUGCGUAGGUGGUUUGGGAAGUUAGUAGCGUAACUCCGAGGCUCAACCUUGGAAAUGCUGCUGAAACUGGUGGCCUUGAGUGCAGGCGGGGCAGCCGGAAUGCCUGGUGUAGCGGUGGAAUGCGUAGAUAUUAGGAAGAACCCCGAUGGCGAAGGCAGGUUGCUAGACUGUAACUGACGCUGAGGCACGAAAGCGUGGGUAUCAAACAGGAUUAGAUACCCGGGUAGUC